UGGGGAAUAUUGCACAAUGGGGGAAACCCUGAUGCAGCGACGCCGCGUGAGCGAAGAAGGUUUUCGAAUCGUAAAUCUCUGUCCUAUGGGAAGAUAAUGACGGUACCAUAUGAGGAAGCCCCGGCUAACUACGUGCCAGCAGCCGCGGUAAUACGUAGGGGGAAAGCGUUGUCCGGAAUCACUGGGCGUAAAGGGUUCGCAGGCGGAAAUGCAAGUCAGUUGUGAAAGGCAGAGGCUCAACCUCUGUAAGCAAUUGAAACUGUAUUUCUUGUGAUGUGGAGAGGCAAGUGGAAUUCCUAGUGUAGCGGUGAAAUGCGUAGAUAUUAGGAAGAAUACCGGUGGCGAAGGCGACUUGCUGGACACAAACUGACGCUGAGGAACGAAAGCGUGGGUAGCAAACAGG
rnacentral:rRNA from 1 species